rnacentral:misc_RNA from 1 species
AACGCACAUUGCGCCCUUUGGCAUUCCGAGGGGCAUGCCUGUUCGAGCGUCAUUACACCACUCAAGCCUGGCUUGGUAUUGGGCGGUAGGGCUCCCCUACGUCUCAAUUUCACCGGCUGGACAACCCGUAUCUCAGCGUUGUGGCAUUCAAUUCGCUGGCGAGAAGGGCGGUCCGCGCCGUUAAAACUUCUAUCAAAGGUUGACCUCGGAUCAGGUAGGGAUACCCGCUGAACUUAA